rnacentral:rRNA from 1 species
AGUUGUAUCCUGGCUCAGGAUGAACGCUGGCGGUAUGCCUAACACAUGCAAGUCGUACGGGAGUUUUUAACUCAAGUGGCGGACGGGUGAGUAACACGUGAGUAUUUACCUUUAGGAGGGGGAUAACAAUUGGAAACGAUUGCUAAUACCCCAUAUGCUUUAGAGUGAAAAAGAUUUAUCUGCCUAAAGAAAAGCUCGCGGCUGAUUAGCUAGUUGGUAAGGUAAUGGCUUACCAAGGCGACGAUCAGUAUCUGGUUUGAGAGGACGAUCAGACACACUGGAACUGAGACACGGUCCAGACUCCUACGGGAGGCAGCAGUGGGGAAUUUUCCGCAAUGGGCGAAAGCCUGACGGAGCAAUACCGCGUGAGGGAAGACUGCCUAUGGGUUGUAAACCUCUUUUUUCAGGGAGGAAUAAAUGACGUGUACCUGAAGAAUAAGCAUCGGCUAACUCCGUGCCAGCAGCCGCGGUAAGACGGAGGAUGCAAGUGUUAUCCGGAAUCACUGGGCGUAAAGCGUCUGUAGGUUGUUGUUUAAGUCAACUGUUAAAUCUUGAGGCUCAACUUCAAAAUCGCAGUCGAAACUAUUCAACUAGAGUAUAGUAGGGGUAAAGGGAAUUUCCAGUGGAGCGGUGAAAUGCGUAGAUAUUGGAAAGAACACCGAUGGC